rnacentral:rRNA from 1 species
UACGGGGGGAGCAAGCGUUGUUCGGAAUUACUGGGUGUAAAGGGUUCGUAGGCGGUGUGGCAAGUCGGGAGUGAAAUCUCUGGGCUCAACUCAGAGACUGCUUCCGAAACUGCCCGGCUAGAGUGUUGGAGGGGGGACUGGAAUUCUCGGUGUAGCAGUGAAAUGCGUAGAUAUCGAGAGGAACACCAGUGGCGAAGGCGAGUCCCUGGACAACUACUGACACUGAGGCACGAAAGCUAGGGGAGCAAACAGG